GACGAACCGUGCGAACGUUGUUCGGAUUCACUGGGCUUAAAGGGCGCGUAGGCGGACGGUCAAGUCGGGGGUGAAAUCUUUCCGCUCAACGGGAAAAGUGCCUCCGAUACUGGGUCGCUGGAGGGGGAUAGGGGUGCGCGGAACUUCCGGUGGAGCGGUGAAAUGCGUAGAUAUCGGAAGGAACAUCAGUGGCGAAAGCGACUUCCUGGACCAAUACUGACGCUCAUGUGCGAAAGCGUGGGGAGCAAACAGG
rnacentral:rRNA from 1 species